AACGCCGCCGCAUGCAAAACAGCCCGUUAUUUCGUCACGGCAAGGAUUCCUCGAUCUCAUCCCAUCGGGAGCCCAGGGCCUCCACCGCCGCCUGCCUUCCGCUUGCCCGUGCCCCGUCACGCGCCUGUCUGCGCCCGUGCCCGCGCCUCGCCCAACACCGCCUGCUUCCUUCCUUUCGCACAGGCGGUGACCGGGGCGAGAUGCCACGUUCUCAUCCACCGCCUUCCACGGCCGCCACCUUCCCGCAUCACGCCUGGAGCCCAAUCAAUCGCCUCACCUCCGACGACCACCCCGCCACAAGAACAAGACGAGAUUAUUUUACAACGGAGCAUCAAGAGCAUGCAGCAAUCGCCAAAUCACACCCGCCGCCGCCGCCGUUCCUCAAUUCCGCAAAGUUCUUGAUAUUGAUACAUAUGAGGUCCGAGAUUGUCGCCCAAUCUAUGACGACAACCACAGAGAUGCACAGUGAUCAAUUGGAGAGGAAGAAAGCAAGUGAAAGACUAGGGUUGGGUGGAGAAAUGUGUUCUACGAAGAGAAAGAAUUGGAUCAAUGCACAGUGAUCAGAAGAGAGGACUAAAUGAGUGAAAUGUACUAGCAUCUGGCACAUAUUUGAUAACUUGACAUAGGAUUAUGCUUAAUUCGCUAUUUACAUGUCAUUUUAUGGUUCCGCACUUA